GACCGAGCGCCGGGGAUGCUGGCGGCGCUGCGCAGGGGGCCGGGCCUGGUGGCGGCCGCGGGGAGACGUUGCUGCGGGGCGCGCCUGCCGGCCCGGUGGGACAAGGCCCAGGGCAGGCGCGGGGCCGCCUGGGGAGCGGGGUCCCUGCGGGCGGGGAGCGGGCUCAGCCCCGGGGGCGUCCUGGCCGCCCUGGCAGCUUUCUCUUUGUUCUCUAAAAAUGCUGAGGAAGAGAAGGAGACAAAGAAAGGGGAGAGUGCGGGGACUGAAGACACCAUUAUAUUCCUUUUGAAGAAAGCCAAGCUCAGCAUCAUGAAGCAGGAGCUUGAGGAAGCGGAGCGGAUUCUGCACCAAGCCAUCCAACUCUCCCAUAAGUCGGACAACAAGAAAGCCAUCAUUUAUACCUAUGACCUGAUGGCAAACCUUGCGUUCCUGAGGGGUCACCUGGACAGCGCAGAGAAGCUCUUCAAAGCAGCAAUGAGCUUCUUGCUGGCUGGGGACAUGAAACAGGAUGACAAUGCCAUCAUUGAAAUAUCUCUCAAGCUGGCCAGUAUCUAUGCUGCUCAGAACCAACACAAGCUGGCUCUCGCUGGCUAUGAGUUCUGCAUUCUGACCCUGGAUGAGAAGAUAGCCAAAUACAGGGACUUGCCUGAGGAUGUCCUCCCAGCAGAGGAAAGAGCCAACACACACCUCCUACUUGGUCUGUGCCUGGACUCAUAUGGUCGCUACCUCCUGGCCAACAAACAGCUGUCUGAGGCCCAAAGAAUGUAUGAGAGGGCACUUCAGAUCUCCAAGGAGGUCCAGGGAGACACCCAUCCCCAGACUGUGGUACUGAUGAAUGACUUGGCAACUGUGCUGGAUGCCCAGGGCCUCUAUGAUGAGGCAUAUACACAUGUGAAGAGGGCAUCUGAAUUGGCAAAGCAGACUGAACACCCUGAGGAGCACAUGGUGCUGAAUAACCUUGCAGGAAUUCUGAUGCACAGAGAAGACUUUCUGCAAGCAAAAGACGUGUACAGAAAAGCCCUGAAACAGGCAGAGCUGAAAGGAGACACUGCAUCCAUGAAGCACAUACAGGAAGAACUAGCAGAGCUGGCCAAGAGGAGAAAGCAGUCAAACUGAACAUGUGAUGCACAAAUGAGGGAGGCUUGAAGUAGCUUGGACUGAAUGAACUGCUGAAGGCAAGAUGGUGGAUUAUAUAAAACACAGGAAGGCUGGGACCUGUUGCCAUUUUCAGUGGGAACUAAAAUAGCUUAACUCCAGGUUCAGUACUGAGUGCUGUCUGUACUGGAGAGCUGAUCUGUCUCUUCUAGACCACAGGUGCUUCAGCUGUUUCUGUCAAGUGUUUUUGUCAUUCUCAUCAACACAGCUUGAUGCUGCAAAACAAGAGGGACACAGAGCAAAAGGAAAUGGAGAACUGAUCCCCUUUAUUGAUUGGUCUGAAUCCAGAAGUCAUUGUCUACUGAAGACAUUUUGUGGAAAAAAACUGAAUUUUAGCAUGACGCAUGGGUUUUUUCAAGUCUUAAAUGUUUUCAUAUCAGAAUCACUGAACAUAUCAAGAGGAAAACAUUGUGAAAGCACUGAUCAGAAAUCAACAGUUACAAAUUUUGUAGUAAACUACUUUUGUAAACAAUGAUUUACAGCCACUUUCCUGUUUGAAACAGGCCAGGUAUAAUUCCAUA